rnacentral:sRNA from 1 species
UGUUGGUCGAAAAAGAUCGUCCGCAGA